GCGGGAACAGAAUUAAGGACUACAGGAUUCCCCUAGUAAUGGCGAAUGAAGCGGGAAGAGCUCAAAUUUGAAAUCUGCGUCGGGUUCGACGCCGAAUUGUAGUUUCGAGAAGCACUUUCUCGGCGGGUCCGGUCGCGUCCAAGUCGCUUGGAACGGCGCGUCACAGAGGGUGAGAGCCCCGUGCGUGGCGCGAUCGGCCGUCCACGAUGUGCUUUCGACGAGUCGGGUUGUUUGGGAAUGCAGCCCAAAAUGGGUGGUAAACUCCAUCUAAAGCUAAAUACUGGCACGAGACCGAUAGCGAACAAGUACCGUGAGGGAAAGAUGAAAAGCACUUUGAAAAGAGAGUUAAACAGUACGUGAAACCGUUAAAAGGGAAACGGAUGGGGUCAGCAAUGCGCUGCGCGAGAUUCAGCCGGUUGGUGUGUCGGCCGGGCGGGCCGGGCGGAUCCCUGUGGACCGCCGCCGUCCGGGUCGGCGCUCCGACCGUCGCACUUCUCGCCAGUGCGCGUCAGCGUCGGUUGGGACCGGGUCUCAAGGGCGCGAGCAAGGUGGGUCGGCCCCUUCGGGGGCCGAUCGUUAUAGGCUCGCGUCGCCCGGCCCGGGCCCGACCGAGGUGUCGCGGUUCGUGCCUCCCUUUCCAGGGCUGGCUGGGGUCCCCUCUUGCCGGUCGGCGGUCGACUGUGGCGGACUGCGUGCAGUGCGCCGAGACAGCCGUCGGUCGCCUUGGGGGUGAUCACGCACAUACGGACCAAGGACGCUGGCGGUCAAAUGGCCUCAUUCGACCCGUCUUGAAACACGGACCAAGGAGUCUAACAUGUGCGCGAGUCUUCGAGUGAUUGAAGCUCGCCGGCGUAAUGAAAGUGAAGGCGGCUUUCGGGCCGCCGAGGCGAGAGCUCCGGCCUUCGCGGUCGGGGCGCAUCGUCGACCGACCUAUUCCGCUCUCGGGAAGGUUGAGUGAGAGCGCACCUGUUGGACCCGAAAG
rnacentral:rRNA from 1 species